ensembl:rRNA 5S_rRNA 5S ribosomal RNA
GCCAGCAGCCAUGUCACCCUGCAACUUACAAUUGGCAACCCACUGAAGCUAAGCAGGUGUGAGCCUGGUCAGUACCUGGAUGGGAGACCUCCUUGGAAAAACUAAGGUUGCUGCUGGAA